AGUGAACGCUGGCGGUAGGCCUAACACAUGCAAGUCGAACGGCAGCACAGUAAGAGCUUGCUCUUACGGGUGGCGAGUGGCGGACGGGUGAGGAAUACAUCGGCAUCUACUUUUUCGUGGGGGAUAACGUAGGGAAACUUACGCUAAUACCGCAUACGACCUACGGGUGAAAGCAGGGGAUCUUCGGACCUUGCGCGAUUGAAUGAGCCGAUGUCGGAUUAGCUAGUUGGCGGGGUAAAGGCCCACCAAGGCGACGAUCCGUAGCUGGUCUGAGAGGAUGAUCAGCCACACUGGAACUGAGACACGGUCCAGACUCCUACGGGAGGCAGCAGUGGGGAAUAUUGGACAAUGGGCGCAAGCCUGAUCCAGCCAUACCGCGUGGGUGAAGAAGGCCUUCGGGUUGUAAAGCCCUUUUGUUGGGAAGGAAAAGCAGCAGGUUAAUACCCCGCUGUUCUGACGGUACCCAAAGAAUAAGCACCGGCUAACUUCGUG
rnacentral:rRNA from 1 species